AAUUUUUUUCUCUUUGUAGCGAUGAAUGGUAAACUUUGCAUCAUGGAUAGUCAUGCAUUUUCCCACGAGUGAAUCUAUGAAAAUUCUGUGAGAAUUUGAGGUUCAAUGGCAUGAUGGUGACUCCACCCACUUCCAACAACUUACUAUGGAAAACUUGAAGUAGGAUUGGUGAGAUGGCCAGCAGGAUGCAGGAGUAGCAGAGAUCUGUUCUGCAGCUGAGGGAGUGUCUGGAUUGAUGUGUGAUUCCCAGAGAAGUCUCCCUUUGCACCACUGAAAAAGAGUCAAGGAAGAAGUCAGUCCCUGGUGGUAUCUUCAUCUGGGUAUCCUGGGUUCAGGCAUUUCAGAAGUCAGGACUCUGAGGCAGACAGAGUGUCUGGCCGGAAGAUAUCUAUCCAAGGGCCCUCUCCAUUUCCACCACUGGAAAAGAGUCAAGGAAGGAGUCAGUGCCUGGUAUGUACCAAAAAUGUACCCUGGAGUACACUUGGCCUCUUCAUCAAGACAUGAACUGAAACAUGGUUAUCAACUUGUACUGAAAGAAACUUGAUUCCACCUUGCUUGUUAGAGAAUUACUUUCAUCCCAGCACUCUUGAGGCAGUCGCUGAGGAGUGUGCAGAUGUGGAGGCAGUAGGGGAGGCAGAGGCUGAGACGGAGGUUGAGGCAGAGGAGGAGGCAGACAGAUCUUUGUGAGUUCAAUGAUUGCCUGUUCGAUGUAGUCAGUUCUAGGAGAUGCUGGGCUAUGGAGUGGGUCCCAGUUUAAGAAACUAAAAGUAACUUAAUAAAUAAAUGAAUUCUUCUCACUAUAUGUAACCUUGGAAAAAGAUAAUGGUGAAUGCCCCAGAGGCCAAAGUGUAACAAACUCUGUUACUAUUAGAGCACAGAGUAGCACAAAGAGUUGAAGGUUCAGGAGAUGCCAGGUUUCUUCUCACCCUUCCUUCCACAGUGAGUGACAGACCUUCACAGACUCCAGCAUGUGCACGCUGAGGUGGUUUUGAGGCUUUUUUAAAGCCCUUAUGGAUGAGCUUAGGUUGAUUGAACAUCCUCUUGUUGUUGAGGACAGUGGGCUUGUCUUCUGUCUUGACUCUGUGACUUAAUUGCAUCAGCUCCCUCACCUUUCUUGGAGUUGAUAUCUCUAGUACUCUUGGUCUUGUCUUCUAUGAUUCCUAGGUUUGCUGGGCCUGCAGAGUGUGGCUUUCUGAACUUUGCCCUCUAUAUGCUGGUUGAUGUUGUCAAUAUCAACUUCUCUAGCCAUAGCACUGUUCUAAGGCUCUGUCGCUCCACCAGGUCCUGACACUAGAUUCUGGCCAGAGAAUCUCCAUCAAGCAGAUUAGGGCUUUGCUCUUCCUUCUUUCUCAACUGGUUUAAGGGUAUGCUGAUGACACCUGAUCUUUACUGGGCCUGAUCGCUUCUGAUAACUAUGGAGUCUUUGCAUUGGGUGGCUGUGGGAACCUGGAAUUGGUUUAUUUCAGAGAGGGAGUUGAGCAGUUUGGAAGAUGAACUUCUGCCACCAGUGUAGUCAUGUCUGCAAGUUUAUGCUGGAGGCCAACACACUGUGCAUGUCCCAGGCUCAUCCUGACCAAGACUGCUGCUUCCCAAUGUCACAAUAUCAGAAGCAAGCUUCUAUCCUUGACUCUCAGCUGUCCUAGGCUCCCAGCAUCAGUGAAGUACAAGGGAUGCUGCAUGUCAGGGUGUGCUAAAGGGAGAGAGAUGGAUCUUGUUUCUCUUUCACGAACUCAUAGGCAUCCAGAGGCAUUGACAGAUUUGUUGCCAUCUCAUGCAGGUUGUUAUUCUCUGUUUGUUCCAGGCAUGGAUCUUGUGGCAAUACCAGGAAUUCUGAAGAUUGUGGAUGGGGGCAGUUAAUGACUUGCCACCAUCAACAGGUGGUGUCCUCAUCUGGUAAUCCAGGGAGUAGGAGUAGCAGAGUUCUUUCUGUUCUGCAGCUGAGGGAAUCUCUGGCUUGACAUGUAAUUCCCAGGGAAGUCUCCCUUUGCACCACUGAAAAAGAGUCAAGGAAGAAAUCAGUCCCUGUUAAUGGGGUGUCCUUUCCUUUCAGCACACCUCUGUACUUAGGCUCCUACAACAGCUAGAUGACAUUCUUAGGAUCUCUGCCAAGGCAGCAGAUAUUCAGAUAUUCAGAUUUUGGGUAGAUAAGAAAAAUGCACCUUGGCUUACACAUGGCUUCUUGAUCACAUGCUGGGAAACCUGGAUAUCCACAUAGAUAGAAAGAAACUUGAUUCCAUUAAGUUUGUGGGAGCAUUCCUUUAGUCUCAACACUCUUGAGGCAGGAUCAGUACCAUGGCAAUUGCAGAGGCAGACACAGAGUCAUAGGCAGAGGCAGAGAUAGUAUCAGGUAGAGGCAGGCUGAAGUCUGUGAGUUCAAGGCUAGCCUGAUCAACAUAGUUAGAUCCUGAACAUGUAGGGUCAUGGAGAGAGAACCUGUCACAAGAAACUAAAAGCAAAUUAAGAAGUCAAUGAGUUAUAUUUCCUGUGUGUCACCCUGUGGAAGAAAAGUCAAAUGCCUCAGAGGCAAUAGUGUGAGUAACCCUCAUAGUAUGAGGGCACAGAGUAUGUGAAAGUAUUGAAUGUUCACAGACAGGCCAGAACGGAACAACAUACCAUCCACUCGGAAAUCCUGGCUAUAGUUGACAGAUGGUCUCUCAGGGAAGUAAAGCAUUUGUUGCCAGAAAAAGGUAAUAGUUAUUAAGAGGGGGUCCUAGAGAACAGGAGGACAGCUUUGUUAUUGCUACCCCAGUAAGAAGAUUAAUAUUUACAUUAUUUAGAGUUAGAUAAAAUACGUAAAUCAUAAGAAAGAAGGCAACCCAGGUAGUAAAGUGCAAAGAGAAAGACAGGCCUCCCUGAUUUCAUAAAAGAGAGCUUGGACAUACGAAGGUUCAGUUUGAGGAGGAAUCUGGGAAAUGCAUAGUGACCCUCCUAGAUGCCAUCCAAGGCCAACUAGAAAAGAAAUGAAAGCCACCACUGAGAGUGUUCACAGAAAGGAAUGCUAUACAGUGCUGAGGAUGGAAAGAUUUCCAGCCUGACUGGAUGUCAGUGUGGAGGAUCCUCCAAAAGCCUAAAUCUGGCCCACCACAUGGUUCAUAUAUACCUUUCCAAAGAACUCAAUAUAUUAGAGAGUUACUUGCCCAUCAGUGUUGACUGCAGCACUGUUUCAAGAAUAUUAGGGAACCAAGCAUGGUGUCCAACAGCAUUGCCAUUGGUGAAGAAAAUGGGAUGUUCGUAGAACGUGAAGUCUUUCCAGCCAUAGGGAAAAUGAAGUUAUGUUGUUUGCAGUAUGUGGAUUCAACUGAGGUACAUGAGAUGGCUCAGUAGAUAAGAACACUUGCUUUUCUUGCAGUAUCCUCAGGCUCACUCCAGAGCACCUUCUGGUUGCUUUCAAUCUCUCUUAACUCCAGACCUCAGAGACCCGAUGGCCUCUUCUGGCCUCUGUGGGCACUCCACACAUGUGUUCCACAGGAAUUCAGGUGGACGACAAACAAACACACAAACACAAAAUCAAGUAUUUCAAAGAUUUGAUUUCAAAGAUGGUGAUUUCAAAGAUGGAUACAACUUGAGACUAACAGUAAUCAAAUGAAAACCUACUCAGGAAAUUGGUCAAUCUUGUAUAUUUUCUCUUUAAGGUGGGUGCUUGAUUGUGUACAUAUGGAAUCCUGUAUUUCAUUUCAUGAAAUUUCAGGAGGAGCUCUGUCCCAGACUAGUAAUAAUUAAAGGGCUGGGGUGAGAGUUUCAAAAUGGGAGGAAAUGUGGUGAGAACAGGAUUGUGUUAACUAUAACAAUAUACACUAUAGGAAACAUACCAAGUUCAAAGACUUUUAUUUUAUUUAAAAAUAAAAGUCAAUAAUAAUAAUUUUAUUACCACUACAGAUAUUAGCUAAUUACUUUUACCUUAAAUAACACAACCAGGGGACUUAUAUCAUAUGAUGUAUUUAUGUAACAUAUAUUACUACUUAGACAACAUAAAUGAAUAAUAGCAAAGGUACCAAGAAACCAUCAAAACCCUCUAUAUAUACUUACUCAUAAAUAAAAUGUAACUGACUUUAGUUUCUCCAGUCACUUUUAGUGUCUUCAGAUAUUUACAAGUAUAGAAACUAUGUCUGACCAUUUAUAUAUUAAAUCUAGAUGUACAUAUUAUUCACGUUAACUCAAUAUGUACCUACAUAUCUACAUGUACAUCCAUGUCUUUAUAUCCAAUGUAUACAUGUAUAUGUGUCUCUGUAUCUCUCCUUCUCUAUGUUGAAUAGUACUGUGAUCCAAAGUCUAGGGUAGCCCUUACAUGACAUAGCCAAAAUAUGUAGAAAUUUCCAUAUCCUUCUGCCUCUGAAGGAAGAGCUGUGGUUUUCCCAGAGAGGUGUACUUGGCAGCAUUCUCUCUCUCCUGUUGAGCCUGCCUCUUCAUGGCCUCCCUCUCUGGUCUCUGCUCUUCUGUGAUGGGCUGUGAGAUGACUGGCCCUGGAAUGUCAACUUUCCUCCAUGGAAUUGGUUGGUGGCUGAAGUUUGCAGCAGAUAUUGGAUUUGAGGUUUGUGAGGUGAUGGGGCCUUGUUCUUGUCAGCAUAGGCAAGCUCCCUCUGUAGUGAAGGGUGAGAUGAUGCCCUGUAGGAUACUGGCCUACAGAGAGCUGGCUGAGGCCCAGGGCAAGACUGGAUGGGGUUGGUUAUGUUAGCUCGUGUGGCACUGGUAGCAAUAGGCAGAAGUGGCUUGUCAGAGGCCAUCAAAGAAGUUCUGGCAGGAGCUGGUUUAGAUGGCUUGAGUGUGGUAGGCUGAGCUGAGUGAGAAUGAGGCCUCACAGGGUAUACUGCAGGGGCCCUGCGUGAAGCCAGGGAGAGAGGCCUUCUAGAAACCAGUCUGGCUUGCUGCUUGUCCAGGGCUGGAAAAGGCAGAGGUACUAACUUGACCUUCCCAGGUGGGGGCAGCUCAUACUGGGAUGGAGAUGGACACUCCCUGUGAGCAUUGCUCCCUGGUCUCUGAGCAUUGCUCGGGGUUUUACCAGGGCCCGGCCAUCACAUGGCACAUCCAGAAGGGAUGAAGUGGCUGGGCAUGUUCUAGGAUCUUUGUUGCUGCUGAGGUUCAGCCGAGCCCGGGAGGAGGAGAUGCCAGUUUUCUUCUCACUCUUCUUCCCCAGUGGGUGAAAGACUUGCACGGAUUCUAGCAUGUGCAUGCCGAGGUGAGUUCGAGGCUUUUUAAAGCUGUCGUGGAUGAGCUCCGGAGGAUUCCUCUUCCUCUUGUUCUUUGGCUUGGUGCUGUUUUCUUCCUCCUUGACUCUGUUCCUUGACAGCUUCAGCUCCUCUGUUUUCUUGGAGUUGUUUUCUCUGGUUCUCUUUGUCUUGUCUGGCCCUUAGCCCUAGCUCUGCUGGGCAUGCUAAGUGUGGCUUUCUGGGAUUUGGCUUCCAUGUGCUUAGGCAUGUUGUCAAUAGCCCCUUCACUGGACCCAGCACUGCCCACAGCCCCUUCUUCCUCCACCAGAGCCUGGUGCUGGAUUCUGGCCUUAGGAGAUGCAUCAAGCAUCUCAGAGGCUUUCUGGCCAUUCUUUCUCACUUGGUCCACAGGUACCCUGAUGAUUUUGGAGCUUUCCUCGACCUGAUCCCUCCUGAUGUCUUUGGAUUGGGUUGCUGUGGGAUCUUGGAAUUGGUUCAUUUCAGUGAGGGAGUUGAAGAUUCGAGGAAGGUGAAUAUCUGCCACCAGUGUAGUCAUGUCUGCAAAGUCCAUACUGGAGCCCAUCACACUCUGCAGCAACCCAGGCUCAUCCUGACCAAGGCUGCUGCUUCCCAAGGUGGCAUUGUCAGGAGAAAGCUUCUGUUUUAGGCUCCCUGAAUCAGUGUAGUCCAGGGCCUGCUGCAUGUUGGCAUGUGUUAAAGGGAGAAGUGAUGGGUCUUGUUUUCUUUUAUGCCCUCAUAGGCAUCCAGAGGAGUUGAUAGAUCAGCUGUCAUCAAAUAUAAGUCGUUAUUCUCUGUUUGUUCCAAGCUUGGAUUAGGAGGCAAGGGCAGGAAUUCCACAAAACUGUCAAUGGGGGCAGUUAAUGACCAGUCCCAAUGGACAGGUGGUGUCUUCUGGACAUCCUGGGUGCAGGCAUUGCAGAGGUCUGGACUCUGCAGCAGACAGAGUGUCUGGCCUGAAGCUGUCAAUCCCAGGGUUGUCUCCAUUUUCACCACUGAAAAAGAGUCAAGGAAGAAGUCAGAGCCUGGUAAGUGAGGUGCUUCCCACUUUUCAGUGCACCUCAGUACUCAGACCCCUACAGCAGUGGGGAAGGCAUUCCUAUGAACUCUCCUUGAGUAGCAUAGGCAGCACCCCUGUUGGGAGACUUGUGACCACUGUCUUAUUUCUUGUAACCAUGUGAUAUCACGUUUUUCUCAGAUGUUUGUGUUUUCCUCGGUGUUUGUGUGUUGUGUGCAUGCAUAGUGAUCAUGGGGAGGUGACAGAAUUCUUUUUUGGUGUGGUCCUCCCUUUCCUUUCCCAUGUCUCUGUAAGAGGGACCUUCAUUUCCGUUGAAGUUUGCUAUUAGGCAGGUUGUCUGGUCCACAAUUUUCAAGAACUUACCCUUGUCUUCCAACUCUUGGCAUUACUCAAAUGCCCCCAGUUGCCUGACUUUCUAAAUGGGUUCAGGUAACCAAACCCAGUUCCUCACUCCUGCAAGGCAAUCAUUUCUACAACCCUGGAUUUCCUCCAGCUCCACAUUUCACAAUCUUGUUAUUAAUGAUGUGAAAAUUGGUUUAAGAAGGUGAAAUCUUAGCCAGGCGGUGGUGGCGCACGCCUUUAAUCCCAGCACUCGGGAGGCAGAUCCAUGCGAAUCUCUGUGAGUUCGAGGCCAGCCUGGGCUACCAAGUGAGUUCCAGGAGAGGCGCAAAGCUACACAGAGAAACCUUGUCUCGAAAAACCAAAAAAAAAAAAAAAAAGAAGAAGGUGAAAUCUUUAGCUUGUGUUAUGUGUGUAGUUUAGAACAUAUCCUAGUGAUCAUGAAUAGCCUUGGAUCACCUCUAUAGCCAUAGCAAAAGAAAAGGGGAGAGAGAGGUAGAGGGAGAGGGAGAGGGAGAGGGAGAGAGAGAGAGAGAGAGAGAAGGAGGGGCGUGGUGAGUGGUAGAGGGAGAAGAGAGAGAAAAUCUUUGCCUAACUUAGCAAUUGUACACUGCAGACAGAGAGAAACAGAGAGAGAGGAGAGAGAGAGAAAGAGAGUGAGAGAGAGUGAGAGAGAGAGAGAGAGAGAGAGAGAGAGAGAGAGAGAGAGAGAGAGAAGAGUUGCCCAACUUAGCAGUUGUACACUGGUUCACCAGGUAUACUGGACUCUCAAUGCACUUAUGCUUGGAAGAGAACAGCAAGGCCAGCACUUGGAAUCUGCGAGGAAUACUUCUUCUAGGACAGAUUUGGAGUUGCACUGCUCUAGAGUCAGAAUUGAACCCAGAGAAAAUAAAAUGUUCCCAAACAGAAAGGCCUUGGUGUCCUCUACAGCCCUGAGAAAUAGAUUAGGAAGGAAGUGAUUGCUGUGUAACCUUGCAUGGGAAUGAUAAGCUAGGUCAGUGAUGUGUGUGUCUGUGGUGGUGUCCUUGGACAUGUCUUAAUGGAGGAUGGGUGCCACUCAUUGCCCUGCAUUGUCAGUCAUUAUAGAGACUGAAGAUGGGGAUGGUGAGCCAGGCCAAAGCUGAGCUCUCAGGACUCCCAUCCUUUCUCCCUGAGGACAUCCACUGCUGAAAGGUGGAGCUGUGUCUGCUUUGAAUGCUGAUCUCAGUCCUCCCCUCCUGGCUUUACUCACCUUGAAGACUGGUGUCUGGCAUGUCUUGAGCAGGUGUGGGAUAGUAGGAGGCAGAGGUGGUGAAGGGUAUUUGGAUAUUCGUUGGCUGAAUCUCCUUUGGCAUCAUCACCAUCCCUGGUUGCAGGGCAGAGGACUGAUCCCCAGAGUAGAAUUCAGAGCCACAGGCCUGCAGGCACUGCCUGAGUUCUUCAGCCAUCAGAGGGCCCAGGCUGUUGACGUCAUUGUAAUAGACCUGGCUGCCAUCCUGGUAGGAAGGUGCCAGGCUGUAUCCUUGAUUUGGUACCUGUGGUGGUGUGGCCUGAACAAGGCUGGCAGAUAGUAUUGGAUACAAGAGGACUAAUGCAAUGGGAUCUAAAAUAUUGUCACCUUGGGCUGUCAUAGACAAGGAGGAGAAUGUGGUAUUCUGGUCAAUGACAGUUACAGUGAAGUCCUGGAGUGCAUCUCCCUUCCUGUCAGUGCUUCCCGUGGGAUCCCACUGGAGAACACCUAAAUAGGAGAGUGCUAAGGCAGAGCUCUGGCCCUGGUCACCAUGCGCAGUCACCAUGGUUGUGCCAGCUGGUAAGUAGGGGUAGGCACUGUCCAUGAGCUGCUGGGAACAAGUGCUGGAGUCUGAUGGCAGGAGCCAUGCUGAACUCACAGCUGGGGUGGAGACCCUGGAGAAGUUGCACACACUUCCUGCUAAGGGCGUGGCAUUCCUCAGCACAGGUGCAGAAGGCUGCAAGGCACAUUCUGUCCCAAAGAAAGGUGCACUUUGGUAAUUUUCUGUAGGAAGGAAGAGGAAAGUGGGAAGAACAGUGAGAUGGAAUCUGUGUGGCUUCCCGUGAAGAGCUUUGUUAUCUGCAGUUUGUCCUGUCUGGCAGGGAAUCCUUGUGAAAAUUCCUGCACACACUGGUGUGUCAGUUCUUGUCCAGGGAACAACUGACUGUGGAGAACCCUGCCCAUGUUGUUAACAUCCGAAACAACCAAAAGAUGUGGAGAAUGCUGUGGAAGAUGGGCUGGAUAGAGUCCAUGGAUCUUGUGGCAAUGCCAGGAAUUCUGAAGGUUGUGGAUGGGGGCAGUUAAUGACUUGCCACCAUCAACAGGUGGUGUCCUCAUCUGGUAAUCCAGUUGCAGGAGUACAGAGUUCUGCUCUGCAGCAAACAAAGAAUCUGGCUUGAUGUGUGAUUCCCAGGGAAGUGUCCCUUUGCACCACUGAAAAAUAGUCAAGGAAAAAGUCAGUCCAUGAAGGGAAUUCUUAUCUUGUACUGCAAUCCACCAUAAAAUGUUCUGUGACUGAGUAGUUCCUACAUCCCAGAGGUAAGACAACUGCUAUUGUUUUGUUGAAUGGAAUGGUUGGGUCUCUACAUUUCCCUUCUAAACCUUUGCAAUUUUGCAGGAGAUUAAUGUAGUUGCAGAUGUAACAGUUACAGUCUGCUUCCUUGCUGGCCAUCCUUUGGCAUUUGUUUCUGUUGCUGUUGGAGAGAGUUGUCAUUGUUUCAGCUGCUGAGUCUCAGUGGCUGCUGCUGUGUGUAGAUGGCAGGCUGGUACUCAGAAAUGGAUCAUGUACAUAGCAGUCCAUCCAAAGCUCAGGGAUUGUCCUACAAGUAGUCCAAUCAAAUUGAGAACUAGAGCAGUGGGGUAGAAUAGUGUAGCAUGGCUUUUUAUUCCAAAAUCAAGUGAACAUCCCAUUGUGAUAUGUUAGCAGUGAUUACCUUGUAUAGAUGGAUACCUUAGAAAGUAAUUGAACAGAAAUUUGCAGUGAUAGACAGGUCUGUGUCUGUGAAGCUUAACUGUACAUAGUAGAAGGAGCCAUGGAGAUUCUUGAAAACUUGACUUGUCAUUCUAGACGUUACUUGCAUUUGACUAUCAGGCCCAUUGAAAAAUGGUUUUUCUGAUGCUAGAGAGUAAGAAGUGGAGAGUUUACUGAAAGUAGGGGGCUUCCAAGUAUUGCUUCCACAGGAAAUACCAAUAAGUUGGUGGGUAUAAUGUGAAGUAUUCUACCCUCUCUCUAUUUCAGUAUGAGGUCACUUUAAACACCAUCACUAUGUCUAUAUCAUUUCCCAUUUAUACUACUCCAAGGAAUUGAACAUGUUAUUGCUUUGCACAUCAGUACAUAUCACAGCAUUUUUCAGGAAUAUCUAUGUUAGCUGAUCUUGCUUUCCAAUAAGAGAGCAAUGGAGAAGGCAUAUGUGAUGUCUACACACAACAGAACCAUUUCAGCUAAAGUGAUGAAUUCAGUCAAGGUGAUUGCAGGAGAGUUAUUGUAACUCGUGAUAAUCAUAUUAUACCAUAUGUAUCCAGUCCCAGACAAAUAUCUCCUGAUGCUGUCUGUAUAUAUGGAUCCUAGAUUACACAUAUCUCCAUGGUUCCAUUCAUGACUUGGGAGGCAAUGCUGUCAAGAAGUUGUCAAUGCCUAAGAUUUUUUGGUGACAGUUAAGGAAAGUUACUGGGCUCAGUGUACAAUGUACAGUUUUAAAAGAAUAUGUUCAAUGAAAAGUACAAUGAGAACUAAUGUUAUUGAGAAGGAUUCCGUACAAGUACAGCACUAUAUGAAUUGCUUUAAUAUGAAAAUGCUUCCUGAGCUUUGUUUAAUAAGAAUUAUUCUACAAGACCCUUAGUUUGAAAACAUCAAGAUUAAAGCAAUAAUAUCAAGGUUAGAAGAUAGCUAUUCAAAUGCAUUUCUAUUGCUCCUAAGAUGUAAAAUGAAGCACAGUAGUCUCAUGGCAGGGCCUAAAUCUGUAAUUAAAGCCACACAAAGAGAGCAUAACACCGUAGGCCUCCUUAAGCCAUUGCUUUUCAUUAUUCUGUUGUACCCAAAUUUGUCCCUGUGAGGAUCAUCGUAUACAGGUAGUAGGAUCUUUUCAUGGUGGGUUUGUUAAUAUUUUCUACAUGGAUGAAUUUGGAAAUAGCUCUUUUUAGAAUGAACAAUUUUGGUCCUACACAGUAGUUAGAUAUUGUGAAGACAGAUACACCAUUUGUGGUGAUAUUUUAUUUGUAUGUUAAUAUAUAAAGCAUGCCUGGAGAUCAAGGGCAAAAUGGCCAGCCACUUUUAAGUAAACAUAGAAGUGAUGCAGUGGUAGCACACUUUCAUAAUUCAAUCAUGUGGCAUAGGGUCUCUGUGUGUUCAAGGACACACUAGGGAACAGCCAAGCAUGAUGACACACGCAUUUAAUCCCAGGACCAACCACAGUGACCUGGCGGUCUGUACAGACAGGCAUUGACAAGGAAGUGAGGUAGCUGGGCUAAGAGCCAAUGAGAGGGCAGUAUAGCAAGGCAAUAAAGGCAUGGGUAAGACAGGAAGUAGCUCACUUUUGGUAGGUGCAGGACUGGAGAGGUAAAGUUGGUGGCUCUCUCUAUUUCUUUGAUCUCUAAGGCUUUCACCCCUAUAUUUGGUCUGUGUUUCUUAUUUAAUAAGACCAUUUAGAAAUUCAUCUACAAUUGGUGCUCACGUGGCAAGAAUUCAUUAAAAAAACCCAUUGAUGGCCUUAUAGGCCAGGGUUUACAGGCCCCCUGCCUUGGCCAGAGCUACAUGAGAUCUGGCUAAAUGCAGCUGGAGCUACUUGCAGCCAGAUCUCCUACUCAUGUUGCUGGAGCUGCAAGGUUGCAGAGCUGCAAUCAGCUGGACUGCUUGUGUGUUUACAGAGCCGCUGGUUCAGGCCAGAGCACGUGGCUGGACUUUUUAUUUAGUUUUUAGCUUUUAGGUGGUGCUUUCUCUCUCUUUCUCUCUGUCUCUCUGUCUCUAUCUCUGUCUCUCUGUCUCUCUGACUCUCUGUCUCUCUCUGUCUCUCUGUCUCUCUGUCUCUGUCUCUGUCUCUCUCUCUCUCUCUCUCUCUGUCUUUCUGAUUCCCAUUUUGGACUGCCACCCAUGCUUGGUAGCUGCUUUGAAAGUCCCUUGGACUUCUACUGUUCUAUGCAGACUUGGUAAGUCAAUUAAGAUAUCAGAUAUCUUAAAAGGAGAAACUAGUUAAAAGAGAACAUUUUUUUCCAUAUUAAAAAAUAGAAAAUAUUUUUCAAUAAAAGGAAAUUAGUCUUUGAUAAUUCAUUAGACAGUCUGAAAACUGUACAGUUAAAUGAGAGGAUAAUUAAUGUUGAUAGGAUGUAGGAAACAUCAGUUAUAACUAUUAUUUGUUUAAUUAUCCUUAUUUUAGUAUUAAAAAGAUUGGUGAAGUUAAGUGCCAAGACAAAAGCUUGAGGAAAAAAAAGGUUAAAAUGAAUUAUAGAGAAAUUCAGACCCAGGCAGAAGACUUUAAAGGUGAAAUUAUUUCAGGAACGCAUUAUAUGGUUACAGAGAGACAGCCUCUUUUCAAACAAUCAAACCUAAUUCAUCUGGUAGCCUUAUAGGAACUACCUGCUCAAGGGCAUGUACAAGCCAAUUGGACUCCAGUGGAAAUGUUGGAUUUAAGGAGAUUUAAAGAAGCUAUAGUAUCCCAUGGAAUGCAUUCUCCAUUUGUAAAGCAAAUGUUAAACUCGUGGUCAACUUGUAAUAGGAUUAUUCCUCAGGACUGGAAAGAGUUGGUAACAGAUGUUCUAGAAUCCAGAGCACAAUUACAGUGGUGACAAUGGCUUAAGGAGGAGGCUAAGGCAAUAGACACCAUGUAGAAGUAGAGGUGUGGACAUUGCCCAGGAUCAAAGACAAUGUUCAUAUGAUAAUCAAACCUUAAUUCUAUGCCGCAUGGCAGCCAUGAAUGCAUGGGACAGAAUUGAGGAAGCAGGAAAAAAAAUGAAAAUUUAAGUAAAGUGGUUCAAAGUCAUUAUAAUUCAGUUCAAAAAUGGAAUUGUAUGAUAUUCUUUGAUAUUAACGGAUUUUUCAGAACCUCUCAACAUAGUUACAAACUCUCAGUAUGCUGAAAGAGUGGUAUUAUAUAUUGAGACUGCAGAAUUUAUCCCUGAUGAGUCAGAAUUAACUUCACUAUUUAUUCAGUUACAAGAUAUAAUCAGGAAUAGGAGCAUCCCUUAUAUAUAACUCACAUCUGAUCCCAUAUGGGUCUGUCAGGCCCUCUAGCACAAGGUAAUGACAAGAUUGAUCAAUUAUUGAUAGGAAAUGUGAUGGAGGCUUCAGAAUUUCAUAAAAAACAUCAUGUCAAUAGUAAAGAUUUAAAAAAGAAUUUUUCCAUAACAUGGCAACAAGCUAAGGAUAUUGUAAGGAAAUGUCCUAAUUUUUCCUUUUAUAACCAGACUCUGCUACCAGCUGGAUAUAACUCAAAGGGUACUCAGAGGAAUGAAAUCUGGCAGAUGGAUGUGUUUCACUUUGCAGAAUUAGGAAAACUAAAAUAUGUACACUAUGCCAUUGAUACUUAUUCAGGAUUUCAGUGCGGAAAUGCUUUUGGUUCUGAAAAUGCUGAACCUGUAAUCAUGCAUUUGCUAGAAGUUAUGGCCAUCAUGGGUAUACCUGCACAAAUUAAAACUGACCGUGUUCCAGCAUAUGUCUCUCGUAAAACAAAACUUUUAUGCUUAUUACAAUAUAAAGAAUAUUACAGUUAUACCACAUAAUCCUACAGGCCAAGCAGUUUUAGAAAGAUCAAAUAGAACUCGAAAGGAUAUGCUAAAUAAACAGAAAGGGGUAACAACCCCCCCCAGAAAUAGAUUACAUAAUGCUCUAUUAACUUUGAAUUUUCUCAGUGCUAAUGAGAAAGGAAAAUAGCUGCAGAGAGACAAUGGAUAAUAGAUAAAACUGCAGAAUUAAAUUGGCCUAUAUACUUUAAGGAUGUGCUGACCUCAGAAUGGAAACCAGGAUAUGUGUUACAUUGGGAACGAGGUUUUGCUUUUGUUUCUAUAGGAAAAGAUAAGCUGUGGAUACCAUCAAAAUUGAUAUAGGUUCAAUUUGAACAAUGGAGACCGCUUAAUUAGAAGAGGUGAUAGUUCAUCAACCAGCAUGACCAUCCAAUUUAAACUAACUUAUACCACUAACAAAUGCCUUUUUAUUUAAUCAGAUAUAACUUGCCAAAAGGGAACCUCUCCAAAGUUAGGUUUGGGGAAGCGUUUUUUGUUUUUGUCUUUCAGGAGAAUGAAGGCCAAGGAAUCUGAAGAACACUGGACAAAUGAGACAUCUGAAGAAAAAGGACAAAUCAUCUAGAAAAAUGUCCCAAGAAAAAGAGUAAUUUGGCCUGUUGGUGUAUCACAUGUAAAAUUUCUUAAGUCUUCCUAAAUGUUUGUUUCUGCUCUUCUCUACAGACCACUAACACAAAUGGUCUUUUUGUAGUCCUAGUUCAAUUAACAAUUAAAGCUGGCUUUGAAGUUGGAGAAUGGCUCUUUCCUUCUCUAAACCCACGUAUGUUGUUAAAAGGAAAAUGGAAAAUCUCUGUGUCAUGUCAGAUGAAAGAGCCAUCUUCUGAUAUAGGACAGAAGAAAACCAAAAAAUUAAGGAACUGGUUUUUUUGCCACUAAUCUCAAUUCUUUGGUUCUAUUUUGAGUCUUUAAACUUUUCUUAAGUUAUGAAUUUUAUAUCAAAAUUUACAAGAUUUAUAUAUGUAUAUAACUUUGUCAUGAUAUUAUUGGUCAUAUAGAGUACUACCUAAUUCUAGAAAAAGGCUUAAUUUAGCUGCCUAUACAUGUUUUUGUGUCGGAGUCUCUAUCAGUUUUCUGCAGGGAAUCAUGACCAGGCCUAACCUCGAAUUUGAAGUCUCCAGAAAGAUGAUGGAGUCCCAUAACAAUGAUUCCAUAUGGACGAUAAUAAUACCACUAAGCUGACAAACAUCACCCAAAGAUCAGCUUUGGACUACAAACUGCUCAGAACAAUUUCGAGAUGGCUAGCUGAGAUGAUCCUGUUUCAGAGACUACUUGAACAAAGACUUGAGAUAAGCCCUGCACUUUGGCAUUAUGCCAAGACUGGACAACAAAUGAUAUAACUACCUCUCCUGGAACUUGACAUUUAACCCAAAAAUUUUCUUUUCAGAAUCUUCUAAAGAUGCUAUCACCCACAAACUGCAGAAAGCAACUUUUCAGAGCACUAUGCCCACAUUUCCAAGAGGUGGGGCGGGUGUUUUUUGGUUUUUCAAUGGGUUUUGGGUUUGGAGUAGUUGUCAUUGUUUAGGAGGCUUGGUUACAAGUUGUUGUAGUUAAUGGUCAGGAAAAGGGCUAAACAAAGGAGAUUAGAUUUAAAAUUCUUGUUUGGAAAAAAAGAUGAUAUAGAUAAGACGUAGAUUAUUGAAUCUACUCUGAAAAAAAGAUAUAGAAAUGAUAGAAUAAAAGGUACAUUAUUGAAUCUACUCUGAAAAAAACGAGAGGAUAUAGAUAUGAUACAGUUAAAAAAGUAGAUUAUCGAAUCUAUUUUUAAAAGACAACUACUAGUUUUAAAUACUUUACAUUGGAUUGAAUUUUUAUAUAUUGUAUACAAAUUAUAUAUAUUGAGAUUGAUAUUGUUAGAAAAUGCUGUAUGUAUAUUGCUAAUCUUGUUCAGGAUAUUGUACCUAUACAGUUCAUUUAACAAUUCGCUAAUCCUUGAAAGUUAUUAUUAUCAACUAUUAGGAUAUAGAGAAAUGAGAAUUAGUAGUUAGUCAUUACAAUUGAACUUGUCAUCAUAUUAGGUGUUUUCAAGGUUAAGCAGAGAUAUAUUUUAGAUAGACAGGUCAUCUUCAAAUCUUUCAGAGAUCUACAGAAUAUGGCAUUUAAAUGUUUUAAUAACUUACAAUUUUUUUUAUGGUUAUGGGACUUGUUGGCUUCUGGCAGCAUCAAUCUACUUCCGAGAAGAUAUGGGCAUUGAAGAAACUGCAUAUGGAGUUAACUUUCAUUAUGGCAAAAGUUAGCCACUGGGCAACAAAGUGCCCUUGUAUCAACUGCUGAGAGUAUGCUAUCCAAAAUGGACCAAGAGGACACAAAGCAAAGGACUACCGAUCCUUGCCAAAACAAGUGUGGUUGUGGCUUUAGCAACAGGCAUCCUCUGAUGCCAAGACUAUAUGGCACCAUCGCUAAAGUGGCCUUUGCAAUCUGGAAAAGGUACAGGGCACCUUUCUAAGAAGGCAGCUCAACAGGCAAUGGACCGAUGUCUUCUGUUAUGCAGUGGAACAGUAGCUGAAACAGUUAUUCUUGAAAGAGUUACUAGGCUGAUAGAGUCUAACCUCUCAAUGGUAGACUGGCUUUUAAUAAAGGAGAUGAAGCCACCCACAAGCCGAGAAGAAUGGGAUGCAGAGAAGAACAGGAUGCUGAGAUGAAGCCCUCCACAAGCUGAGAAGAAUAAGCAGAUGAAUUCCAGAAACACCAGCAAUUUCCAGGAUUUAAAAUCCUGAAUCAUGACAGGACACUGGUAGAAUUCAAUUUUAUCUGGUACAUGGAAUACUCAUGCCGAAUGUGAGGACAAGCUGUAGGCCUUGUGUAUAUCCUACUUCACAAAUGAGUCUGUCAGAUAUGCUAAGCCUCUAGGCUGAAGAUGAUGCCCCAACAUUGCAGAAAACCUCAGGUGACUGUCCAGACAGCUGGCUGUUUCUGUCAACUCAUAAUUUUCCAGAAGUUGCUUGUUUGCAAUUCCUGUUUUACUAGGUAAUAUUAUUUCCUUCUUGGUCUCUGAGGGAGUUGAAGAUUUGAUAGUCAUAGUUACAUUUUUCCUUCUUAAGAAAUUUCAAAAAAAAAAAAAAGAAACUCACUAAGAGGUGAAAAGUAUAUAAGUUCUAAGGAAUAUUACAGGACAAUUUUCUGUUGGUAAUACAAGUUCAGGUAGAAAGUGAAUUAGGUACAUUUUGAACUCACAAAAAGUAGAGUAGAUAAUGUAAUAUUUUCUCUAAAUUUGUCAAAUUGCUGAUGUAUUUAUUGCUUGUAUAUAUUGUAUAUAGUUGUACUUAUUGUAUAUAGUUUUUUUUAUAUUAUUUAUAAAUUUUAUUCUUAAUAAAUAAAGCACUUUUAAGUAAACACAGCAAUCAGGAAGUGGUAGCACAUACCUUAAUCCCGUCAAAAGGCAGACAGGGUCACUAUGUGUUCAAGGAUGCACUAGGGAACAGCCUAGUGUGGAGCCUUUAAACCCUGCACCAACCAUAGAGACCUGGAGGUCUGUACAGACAGGCAUUGACAAGGAAGUGAGGUAGAAGGGCUAAGAGCCAAUGAGAAGACAGAACAGCAAGGCAAUAAAGGUGAGGGUAAGAGAGAAAGUACCUCACUUUUGAAAGCUGCAGGACUGGAGAGGUAAGGUUGGUGGCUAUCACUAUUUCCCUGAUCUCUAAGGCUUUCACCCCUAUAUUUGGCUUUGUGUUUUUUAUUUAUUUAAGACGGUUUAGAAAUUCGUUUACAACCAUGAAACUCUAUGAACAGGGUGAAUACAAUUCCUCAGUAAAAUUCAGAUGCCCCACUUCCUAGAAGUAGAAAAGCAAUCAUAACUUUACCACAAAAGCAGAGAAUACCCAGGAUAGCAUGAGCACACCUCAUUAGAGGUCAGUGCUUCACAGGUAUUGUAGCAAGUACAGCCUACAACUGAAACAAGGCACAUUGUCAGGAAAAGAUUAAUCCGAGUUUAGUUGCGGUUGUAAACACAUGUGGUUUAGUCUCUUUGGAUUUUAGGUAUGUACCAAAAAUGCACCCUGGAGUACACAUGGCCUCUUCAUCAAGACAUGCAUGGAAAUGUUAUUCACAUGUACAGAAAGAAUCUGGAUUCCACCUGGCUUCUUGGAGCAUUCCUUUAGUCUCAGCACUCUUGAGGCAGCAGAGGAGGAGGAGGCAGAAGUGGAGACAGAAGGGGAGGCAGAGGCUGAGAUGGAGAUGGAGGCAGAGGGGGAGGCAGGCAGAUCUUCAUGAGUUCAAUGUUGCGUGUUCGAUGUAGUCAGUUCUAGGACAUGCUGGGCUAUGGAGAGGGUCCCUGUCUCAAGAAUCUGAAAGUGAGUUAAUAAAUAAAUUAUUUUGUUUAGUAUAUGUAACCCUGGAAAAAGAUAAUGACAAAUGUCUCAGAGGCCAAAGUGUAACAAACUCUGAUACUAUUAGAGCACAGAGUAGCACAAAGAGUUGAAGGUUCAGGAGAUGCCAGUUUUCUUCUCUCCCUUCUUCCACAGUGAGUGACAGACCUUCACAGACACCAGCAUGUGCAAGCCGAGGUGUGUUUGAGGCUUUUUAAAGCUAUGAUGGCUGAGCUCAAGUGGAUUCCACUUCCUAUUGUUGUGGAGGACAGUGGGCUUCUCUUCUGCCAUGACUGACUUGAUGGCUUCAGAUCCUUCAGCUUUCAUGGAGUUGAUUUCUCUAGCUCUUUUUGGUCUCAACUUGCCCAUGAACCCUAGGUCUACUGAGCCUACAGAGUGUGACCUUCUGAGCUUUCCCUCCAUUUGCUUGUCUGUGUUGUCAAUAUCUCCUUCUGGCCACAGCACUAGCCAAAGCUUCUCUCCUUCCACAAGGUCCUGAUACUGGAUUCUGGCUAGAGAUUCUCCAUGAAGCAGAUUAGAGUGUCUCUCUUCCUUCAUCCUCAACAGGUUUAAGGGUGUGCUGAUGACACCUUAUCUUUACUGGGCCUGAUUGCUCCUGAAGACUAUGGAGUCUUUGCAUUAGGUGGCUGUGGGAACCUGGAAUUGGUUUAGUUCAGAGAGGGAGUUAAGCAGUUGGGAAUGUGAACUUCUGCCAUCAGCAUAGUCAUGUCUGCAAGUCCAUGCUGGAGGCCAACACACUGUGCAUGUUCCAGGCUCAUCCUGACCAUGACUGCUGCUUUCCCUGGUGGCAUUGUCAGAAGCAAGCUUCUGCCCUAGGCUCCCAGCAUCAGUGAAGUGCAAGGGAUGCUGCAUGUCGGGGUGUGCUAAAGGGAGGAGAGAUGGGUCCGGGUUUUCUUUCAUGCACUCAUAGGCAUCCAGAGGCAUUGACAGAUUUGCUGCCAUCUCAUGCAGGUUGUCAUUCUCUGUUCCAGGCAUGGAGCUUGUGGAAAUACCAGGAAUUCUGAAGGUUGGGUACUGUUAAUGACUUGUCCCCAUCAAUAGUUGGUGUCCUUAUCUGGGAAUGCAGUUCCAGUCAUGGAGCUUGUGACAAUACAAGGAAUUCUGAAGGUUGUAGUUGGGGUAGGUAAUGUCUUGUCUCCAUCAACAGGUGGUGUUCUCAUCUGGUAAUCCAGGGUGUAGGAGUAGCAGAGGUCUGUUCUGCAGCUGAGGGAGUCUCUGGAUUGAUGUGUGAUUCCCAGGGAAGUCUCCCUUUGCACCACUGAAAAAGAGUCAAGGAAGAAGUCAGUCUCUGGUGGGUGCUUGAUAGUGUAUACAUGGAAUCCUGUAUUUCAUUUAAUGAAAUUUUAGGAGGAUAUCUGUCCCAGACCAGUAAUGAUUAAAGGACUAGGGUAAGUGGUUCAAAAUGGGAGGAAGUGUUGGAAGAACAGAAGUGUGUUCACUAUACAGUAUACACUAUAGGAAACAUACCAAGUUCAAAAACCAGUAUAAUGAAAAUAAACGUCAAGGAGAAUAAUUUUAUAACCACUACAGGUUUUGACUAAUUACUUUUACCUUAAAUAACACUACCAGUGAUUUAUAGCAUAUGAUGAAUUUAUGUAACACAUAUUUCUACUUUGGAAACAUUAAAGAACAAUAGCAAAGGUGUGAAGAAACCAUCAAAGCCUUCUAUAUAUACUUACUAAUGGAUGAUAUAACUGACUUAAUUUCUUCAAUCACUUUUAGUGUCUUCAAAUAUUUACAAGUAUAGAAACUGUCUGACCAUUUAUAUAUAAAUCCCUGGAUCUACCAAUUAAUUUCCCUAACUCCAUAUGUACCUACUUACCUACACACUCACCAAGAUUUUAAUCCAACAUAUACAUGUAUAUCUCUGUCUAUAUCUUACCUUGUCUGUGUUGAAUAGCACUGUGUUCCAAAAACUAGGCUAGGACUUAUAUGACAUAGUCAUAAUAUCUAGAAAUUUCCAUAUCCUUCUGCCUCUGAAGGAGGAGCUGUGGUUUUCCCAGAGAGGUGUACUUGGCAGCAUUCUCUCUCUCCUGUUGAGCCUGCCUCUUCAUGGCCUCCCUCUCUGGUCUCUGCUCUUCUGUGAUGGGCUGUGAGAUGACUGGCCCUGGAAUGUCGACUUUCCUCAAUGGAAUUGGUUGGUGGCUGAAGUCUUUCACCAGAUAAUGGAUUUGAGAUUUUGGAGGUGAUGGGGCCUUUUUCCUGGCAGCAGAAAUAAGCUCCCUCUGUAGUGAAGGGAGAGAUGAUUCCCUGUAGGAUACUGGCCUACAGAGAGCUGGCUGAGGCCCAGGGCAAGACUGGAUGGGGUUGGUUAUGUUAGCUUAUGUGGCACUGGUAGCAACAGGCAGAACUGGCUUGUCAGAGGCCAUCAAAGAAGUGCAGGCAGGAGCUGGUUUAGAUGGCUUGAGUGUGGAAGGCUGAGCUGAGUGGGAAUGAGGCCUCACAGUCUAUACUACAGGAGGCCUGCGUGAAGCCAGGGAGAGAGUGUAGAUAUAACCAACCGUCUUAUUAAAUAAGAAACACAGAGCUGAUUCAGAGAAGAAAGCCAAGAGGUCAGAACUAAGAGCCUUACCCUUCCUGCUUCAGCCAAGAGAGCUCUCCGAAAAGGGGGCCUACUUACUGUGUGUAUGUCUUUAAAUAGUCUUUCUGUUCUGCCUUCUCAUUGGUUGUAAACCCAAACACGUGACUGCCUCGUCACUGCCUGUGUGUACAGCCCUCCAGGUCCUCUAUGGUAUUGAGAUUAAAAGUUUGUGUCUCCAAUGUUGGCUGUAUUCUUGAACACACAGAGAUCUACCUAGCUCUGUCUAACAAGUGCUGGGAUUAAAGGCUUGCACCACCACCACCAUGCUCUUGCUAUGGCACUAAUAGCUCUGAACCCUGGGCAACUUUAUUUAUUAAUAUACAAUUAAAAUCACAUUUCAGUACAAAUAAAAUACCACUAUAAGAGAGGCUUUCUAGAAACCAGUCUGGCUUGCGGCGUCUCCGGGGUGGAAAAGGCAGAGGUACUAACUUGACCUUCCCAGGUCGAGGCAGCUCAUACUGGGAUGGGGAUGGACACUCCCUGUGGACAUUGCUCUCUGGUCUCUGAGCGUUGCUGGGGGUUUUACCGGGGCCUCAGCCAUCACAUGGUACAUCCAGAAGGGAUGAGGUGGCUGGGCCUGUCCUGGGAUCUUUGUUGCUGCUGAAGUUUAGCAGAGUCCAGGAAGAGCAGAUGCCAGUUUUGUUAUUACACUUCUUCCCCGUGGGUGAAGGACCUGAGUGGAUGCCAGCAUGUACUUCCCAAGGUGAGUUUGAGGCUUUUUAAAGGCGUCAUUGCUGAGCUCAGGUGGAUUCCUCUUCCUCUUUGUCUUGGGGAUGGUGGGGUUCUCUUGUGUCUUGACACUGUGACUUGAUGGCUUCAGCUGCUGUAUUUUGCUGAAGUUGUUUUCUCUGGUCCUCUUCGUCUUGUCUUGCCCCUGCACCCUAGCUACCCUGGGCCUGCUGGGUGCAGAUUUCUGAGCUUUGACCUCCAAGUGUUUGUUGUCCAUGUUGUCAAUAUCCCCUUCACUGGCCCCAGCAUUGGUUCCAGCCUCUGCUCCCUCCACCAGGUCCUGGUGCUGGAUUUGGGCCUGAACAGCUCCAUGAAGCAGAUGAGAUACUUUCUGGUCUUUCUUGUUCACCUUUUAUGAGUCCAGUGAUGCUGGAACUUUCCUGGGCCUGAUCCUUCCUGAUGACUGUGGAGUCUUUGGAAUGGAUUGCUGUGGGAUUUUCCCAGUGGUCUAGGUCAGUGAGGGAGUUUAAGAGUUGAGGAAGGUGAAUAUCUGACAGCACUAUAGUCAUGUCUUCCAUGUCAUGCUUGAGACCAUGACACUCUACAAAGACCCAGGCUCUCCUAGACCAAGGCUAUUUCUUCCCAAGAUGGCAUUAUCAGAAUCUGGCUUCUACCUUAGUCUCCCAGCAUCAGUGUAGUUCAGGGGCUGCUGCAUGUCAGAGUAUGCUAGAGGGAGGAGUGAUGAGCCUUGGUUUUCUGUACUGCCCUCAUAGGCAUUCAGAGGCUUUGAUUGCUCAGCAAUCAUUUCUUCUACAUUGUUAUUCUCUGUUUGUUCCCGGCUUGGAGCUGGAGGCAAGGCCAGGAAUUCUGAAGGACUGUGAAUAAGGGCAGUUAAUGACCUGUCCCCAUCAACAGGUGGUAUCUUCAUCUGGGUAUCCUGGCUUCAGGCAAUUCAGAAUCAGGACUCUGCAGCAGACAGAAUGUCUGGCUGAAAGAUAUCUAUCCUAGGGCCCUCUCCCUUUCCACCACUGGAAAAGAGUCAAGGAAGGAGUCAGUGCCUGGUAAGUGAGAUGAUCCCCUCCUUUCAGUGGACCUCAGCACUCAGGCCUCUGUAGCAGUGGGCCAGGCAUUCCUAUGAACUCUGCUUGAGUGGCAAGUGUAGCAUCUCUGUUUAUGGACACUUAGUAACUACUCAAUUGUUUCUGGUGACCACGCAAUGUCUUAUUUUCUCAGAUGUUUGUGUGUUCCAUAUCAUUUUUUGGUGUGAGCAUGCAUAGUGGUCAUAGGGAGGUUACAGAAUUCUCUUGGUGUGUGGUCCUUUCUUGCCCUCCUUUUGACUUUGAAACAAUUCCUCUCAGUUAUUUGGAAGUGUUGUAUUAGGCAGUUUAUCUGGUCUAUAAUUUCCAAUACUUACACAAUCUGCUGACUUCUUUCAAGUAGUGGCAUUACUCAUGUGCAACCAGAUGUUUGGAUUUUUUGUGGAUUUCAGUGUGCAAACCCAGUCCUUCACUCCUGAAAUGCAAGCCGUUUAAGAACCCCAGCUUUCCUCGAGCUCCCAUUUCACAGACGUGUUAUAAGUGAUAUGAAAAUUACUUGAAGAAAGUGAAAUAGUGUGGCCUGAGUGUGUCUUUGUUAUAGAGAACAUGGGUACAUGAUCAUGGAUUUGUGUCAACACUGAAGAAUCACAGAGAAAAAGAAAGAGAAUAAGAGAAGAUACAGCAAGAGAGUGAGUAAGUUUGAGAGAGAGAGAGAGAGAGAGAGAGAGAGAGAAAGAGAGAGAGAGAGAGAGUGAGAGAGAGAGAAAGAGAGAGAGAGACAGAGACAGAGAGCGAGACAGAGACAGAGAGACAGAGAGAGAUAUUUGCAGUUGUGUUGCUCAGGUAUCCGAUUUCAACUCAGGAAAAAUCAAGUGCUAACAAAAUAUAAAAUUCUUGAUGUCUUCUAGAGCCCUGAGCACUAUCCUAGAAAGGAGGUGAUUAUAGUGUGAUGGAGCAUGGCACUGAUUGGCUUAGGCAGUGAUGUGUGUGUCUGUGGUGUGGUAGCUGAUCAUGUUUUAAUGAAGGAUGGAUGUCAGUCCCUAUCAUGCACGUUUCUUACUUUUGAGAUGGACGUUGGGGAUGGUGAGCCAGAGCCAAGGCUGAGCACUCAGGACUCCCAUCCUUUCUCCCUGAGGACAUCCACUGCUGAAAGGUCGAGCUGUGUCUGCUUUGAGUGUUGAUCUCAGUCCUCCCUCCUGGCUUUACUCACCUUGAAGACUGGUGUCUGGCAUGUCUUGAGCAGGUGUGGGAUAGUAGAUGGCAGAGGUGGAGAAAGGUGUUUGGACAUUCGUUGGCUGAAUUUCCUUUGACAUCAUCACCAUCUCUGGUUGCAGGACAGAGGCCUGACCCCCAGAGUAGGACACAGAGCCACAGGCCUGCAGGCACUGCCUGAGUUCUUCAGCCAUCAGAGGGCCCAGGCUGUUGAGGUCAUAGUAAUAGACCUGGCUACCCUCCCGGUAGGAAGGAGCCAGGCUGUAUCCUUGAUUUGGCACCUGUGGUGGUAUGGCCUAAACAAGGCUGACAGACAGUGUUGGAUAGGAAAGGACAGGACUAAGGCAAUGGGAUCUAAAAUAUUUUCACCCUGGACUGUCAUAGACAAGGAGGAGAAUGUGGUAUUCUGGUUAAUGACAGUUACAGUGAAGUCCUGGAGUGCAGCUCCCCUCCUGUCAGUGCUUCCCGUGGGAUCCCACUGGAGAACACCUGGCUAGGAGGGUGGUGAGGCAGAGCUCUGGCCCUGGUCAGUCAGUGCAGUCAACAUGGUUGUGCCAGCUGGUAAGCAGGGGUAUGCACUGUCCAUGAGCUGCUGGGAACAAGUGCUGGAGUCAGAUGGCAGGAGCCAUGCUGAACUCACAGCUGGGGUGGAGACCCUGGAGAAGUUGCACACACUUCCUACUAAGGGCGUGGCAUUUCUCAGCACAGGUGCAGAGGGCUGCAGAGCACAUUCUUUCCCAAAGAAAGGUGCACUUUGGAAAUUUUCCGUAGGAAGUAAGAGGAAAGUGGGAAGAAUGGUGAGAUGAAAUCUGUGUGGCUUAUGUGACAAGCUUUGUUAUCUGCAGUUUGUCCUGUCUGGGAGAGUCUGAGAUCUAUUUUCCCUCACAUAUGCCAUACAAAUGGUUCAGAAUGAUUCUUGGUAAUGGAUAGGAUGAUACUCAUUUGAUGAGCUGCCUGUUCUUCCUGUGUGGGCAUGCACUUCCUAGUUGAUCCACGUUGACCCUUGCUCUGACCUAGACAAUACCCUUCUUUGCCCUGUUUUGUGUUGUUCUCAUACCUGCUGUGGUACUGCCUCACAUGUUAGUCCCAGAACAGAAGUGUUUAAAGUAGGAGAACCUUAGACAGCUUCUCAUGCCUGUGCCUUUGUCCUGUUCUGUGCAAAUCUUUCUCUAUGUAGAGAGAGAGAUUCUCUACCUAGAUCAGUCUGGCCUUGAAAUCACACAGACUGGCCUGCCUCUACAUCAGAGUGCUGGCAUUGUAGGUUCUUUCCAUGUCCACCAAGCUUGGCUCUACUCUGAGUUUUCUUAAUGAAAUGAUGUAUCAGGAAUUUCAUAGAUAAGAACUGUAUUUAGCUAAGAAUCCCUUGGUCAUCUAGAUCCUCCUGUUCCCCACUACGUUUAAUGCAAGUCAUUAUCUCUUACUUUUUUAUAUAAAUUCAGCACACAUCCAAUAUGACUACAUGAAUACAACCUGCUGAUAACAUUUCAUGUUGAGUCCCUAUGUUUCAUGUGACAUCUUGGGAUUUAUAAUGUAGCAUGUGGUUCAUCCCUGAAUAAGAUUGUUUCUUAAUUUAAUAGUUGGUUAAAUUGAGUCUUCAAUGAACACUUCCACAGUAUUUGUUAAUUUCUUAUAACUCUCCUAGUUGGGAAUCCUUGUGAGAAUUCCUGCACACACUGGUGUGUCAGUUCUUGUCCAGGGAACAACUGACUGUGGAGUACCCAGCCCAAGUUGAUAACAUCUAACACAACCAAAAGAUGUGGAGAAUGCUGUGGAAGAUGGGCUGGGUAGAGUGUAAGAGCCAGGGACUAGAGCUGGAUAUUGUUUUCUACAUGUGAUAGGAAACCUUUACCUAGACUAAUCUCAACAGUGUGGCUGCAUAAUAAUGGGUUGGGAUAUGAUAAUGUCUCAUGCCUUUUAAUUUAAUCUGUGGUUAUCUGUAACAUUCAGUUCCAAACUACCUUUGUGUACAUCCAGGGUCAUCUCUGCAGUUUGUCUUUUUUUUUUUACAUAUAUUCUAACCCUAGUAAGAACCAAAUCUAAAUAUGACAUUCAAUUCCGGAUGUCUCUAUCAGCAACAAUAGUAUACCCAUUACACAAAAAUUUAAAAGUAUAGUAAAAAUAAUGGAGAAGUGAUCUCUUAUUUUUUUAAUGUUUUAAAAUUUCUUUCCUUACCUGCCAUGGUCAGAGGGAGAGUAUCAGCAAUCCACAGUAUAAUGGAGCAAGAGAAUUGGUUGUCCAUGUGUGAUCAGCUGACCUGAGUCACAAGUGUGUCCAGUAUCAGACAGCACUUACUGGUCACUGGUCGCAGGUGACCUGUGAUGAUCCAAAUUUGUUUACAGGCAUUGCCAUGCCAACCACAAGUACCUACCAGGUGAUGGUAGGGUUGGAGGGAGAAUGAUGUCAUAAACAGGGCAGAAGCCAAUGGGAAGAUGGGAUUCUGAACUAACAGAUGGGAUUGGUUGGAGAGAAUUCCAGGAAUCCCUCAGGAGCCAUGGAGGCUGAGGUACAAAAAUGUACCCUGGAGUACACUUGGCCUCUUCAUCAAGACAUGAACUGAAACAUGGUUAUCAACCUGUACUGAAAGAACCUUGAUUCCACCUUGCUUGUUAGAGAAUUACUUUCAUCCCAGCACUCUUGAGGCAGUCGCUGAGGAGUGUGCAGAUGUGGAUGCAGUAGGGGAGGCAGAGGCUGAGAUGGAGGUUGAGGCAGAGGGAGAGGCAGGCAGAUCUUUGUGAGUUCAAUGAUUGCUUGUUCGAUGUUGUCAGUUCUAGGAGAUGCUGGGCUAUGGAGUGGGUCACAGUUUAAGAAACUAAAAGUGACUUAAUAAAUAAAUGAAUUCUGCUCACUAUAUGUAGCCUUGGAAAAAGAUAAUAGUGAAUUCCCCAGAGGCCAAAGUGUAACAAACUCUGUUACUAUUAGAGCACAGAGUAGCACAAAGAGUUGAAGGUUCAGGAGAUGCCAGUUUUCUUCUCACCCUUCCUUCCACAGUGAGUGACAGACCUUCACAGACUCCAGCAUGUGCACGCUGAGGUGGUUUUGAGGCUUUUUAAAGCCAUCAUGGCUGAGCUCAGGUUAAUUGAACAUCCUCUUGUUGUUGAGGACAGUGGGCUUGUCUUCUGUCUUUACUCUGUGACUUAAUUGCAUCAACUCUUUCAGCUUUCUUGGAGUUUUAUCUCUAAUACACUUGGUCUUGUCUUUUAUGAUUCCCAGGUCUGCUGUGCCUGCAGAGUGUGGCUUUCUGAACUUUGCCCUCUAUAUGCUGGUUGAUGUUGUCAAUAUCAACUUCUCUAGCCAUAGCACUGUUCUAAGGCUCUGUCGCUCCACCAGGUCCUGACACUAGAUUCUGGCCAGAGAAUUUCGAUCAAGCAGAUUAGGGCUUUGCUCUUCCUUCUUUCUCAACUGGUUUAAGGAUGUGCUGAUGACACCUGAUCUUUACUGGGCCUGAUCGCUUCUGAAAACUAUGGAGUCUUUGCAUUGGGUGGCUGUGGGAACCUGGAAUUGGUUUAGUUCAGAGAGGGAGUUGAGCAGUUUGGAAGAUGAACUUCUACCACCAGUGUAGUCAUGUCUGCAAGUCUAUUCUGGAGGCCAACACACUGUGCAUGUCCCAGGCUCAUCCUGACCAAGACUGCUGCUUCCCAAUGUCACAAUGUCAGAAGCAAGCUUCUAUCCUUGACUCUCAGCUGUCUUAGGCUCCCAGCAUCAGUGAAGUACAAGGGAUGCUGCCUGUCAGUGUGUGCUAAAGGGAGAGAGAUGGAUCUUGUUUCUCUUUCAUGCACUCAUAGGCAUCCAGAGGCAUUGACAGAUUUGUUGCCAUCUCAUGCAGGUUUUUAUUCUCUGUUCCAGACAGGGAUCAUGUGGCAAUGCCCGGAAUUCUGAAGGUUGUGAUGGGGGCAGUUAAUGACUUGCCACCAUCAACAGGAGGUGUCCUCAUCUGGUAAUCCAGGGAGUAGGAGUAGCAGAGUUCUUUCUGUUCUGCAGCUGAGGGAAUCUCUGGCUUUGACGUGUAAUUCCCAGGGAAGUCUCCCUUUGCACCACUGAAAAAGAGUCAAGGAAGAAGUCAGUCCCUGUAAAUGGGAUGUCCCUUCCUUUCAGUGCACCUUGUACUUAGGCUCCUACAACAGCUAGAUGACAUUCUUAGGAUCUCUGCCAAGGCAGCAGAUAUUCAGAUAUUCAGAUUUUGGGUAGAUAAGAAAAAUGCACCUUGGCUUACACAUGGCUUCUUGAUCACAUGCUGGGAAACCUGGAUAUCCACAUAGAUAGAAAGAAACUUGAUUCCAUUUAGUUUGUGGGAGCAUUCCUUUAGUCUCAACACUUUUGUGUCAGGAUCCAUACCAUGGCAAUUGCAGAGGCAGUCAUAGAGUCAUAGGCAGAGGCAGAGAUAGUAUCAGGUAGAGGCAGGCUGAAGUUUGUGAGUUCAAGGCUAGCCUGAUCAACAUAGUUAGUUCCUGAACAUGCAGGGUCAUGGAGAGAGAACCUGUCUCAAGGAACUAAAAGCAAAUUAACAAGUCAAUGAGUUAUAUUUCCUGUGUGUCACCCUGUGAAAGAAAUGUCAAAUGCCUCAUAGGCCAUAGUGUGAGUAAUCCUGAUACUAUGAGAGCACAGAGUAUGUGAAAGAGUUGAAUGUUCACAGAGAGGCCAGAAUGGAGCAACACACCAGCCACUCAAGAAAUCCUGGCUGUAGCUGACAGAUGGUCUCUCAAGGAAGUAAAGCAUUUGUUGCCAGAAGAAGGUAAUAGUUAUUAAGAGGGGGUCCUAGAGAACAGGAGGACAGCUUUGUUAUUGCUACCCCAGUAAAAGAUUAAUAUUUAGAUUAUUUAGAGUUAGAUAAAAUAUAUAAAUCAUGAGAAAGAAGGCAACCCAGGUAGUAAAGUGCAAAGAGAAAGACAGCCCUCCUGAUUUCAUAAAAGAGAGCUUGGACAUACAAAGGUUCAGUUUGAGGAGGAAUCAGGGAAAUGCAUAGUGACCCUCCUAGAUGCCAUCCAAGGCCAACUAGAAAAGAAAUGACAGCCACCACUAAGAGAGUUCACAGAAAUGAAUGCUAUACAGUGCUGAGGAUGGAAAGAUUUCCAGUCUGACUGGAUGUCAGUGUGGAGGAUCCUCCAAAAGCCUAAACCUGGACCACCACAUGGUUCAUAUAUGCCUUUGCAAAGAACUGAAUAAAUUAGAGAGGUACUUGCCCAUUAGUGUUGAUUGCAGCACCGUUUCAAGAGUAUUAGGGAACCAAGCAUGGUGUCCAACAGCAUUGCCAUUGGUGAAGAAAAUGGGAUGUUCGUAGAACGUGAAGCCUUUUCAGCCAUAGGGAAAAUGAAGUUAUAUUGUUUGCAGUAUGUGGAUUCAACUGAGGUUCAUGAGAUGGCUCAGUAGAUAAGAACACUUGCUUUUCUUGUAGUAUCCCCAGGCUUACUCCAGAGCACCUUCUGGUGGCUUUCAAUCUCUCUUAACUCCAGACCUCAGAGACCCGAUGGCCUCUUCUGGCCUCUGUGGGCACUCCACACAUGUGUUCCACAGGAAUUCAGGUGGACGACAAACAAACACACAAACACAAAAUAAAGUAUUAGUGGGUGAUUUCAAAGAUGGAUACAACUUGAGACUAACAGUAAUCAAAUGAAAAUCUACUCAGGAAAUUGGUCAAUCUUGUAUAUUUUCUCUUUAAGGUGGGUGCUUGAUAGUGUACAUGUGGAAUCCUGUUUUUCAUUUCAUGAAAUUUCAGGAGGAGCUCUGUCCCAGACUAGUAAUAAUUAAAGGGCUGGGGUGAGAGUUUCAAAAUGGGAGGAAGUGUGGUGAGAACAGGAUUGUGUUAACUAUAACAGUAUACACUAUAGGGAACAUACCAAGUUCAAAGACUUUUAUUUUAUUUAAAAAUAAUGUCAAGAGAAAAAUUUUAUUACCACUACAGGUUUUAGCUAAUUACUUUUACCUUACAUAACUCUACCAGGGGACUUAUAUCAUAUGAUGUAUUUAUGUAACAUAUAUUAAUACUUAGACAACAUAAAUGAAUAACAGGAAAUAUAAGAAGAAAC